rnacentral:lncRNA from 1 species
UUCAGCCCUGUUUGCUCUAUCGUCUGUCUGUUCACCAUGAAUGAGACCCUCUUUGGACCGAGAGAAGAUGGUGGUGAUCAAUGGGAGACUGUGAGUAUGCGACGUGUGAUGUAGGAGAAUGGAUAAAAAUAGACUGAGAAGGAAAAGAGGUUAAGGAGGAGAGCAAGACAGAAGAGGGAGAGAGAUAUAGAAAGACAGAGAUAGAGGGAGAUCCGUGACUGCUUCCUCAGGAUGUGGUUUUCGGUUCAGGGUUUUAAGGGAGGGGGUGACUCUAUGACAACCGAAGACUUACCUUUUGAUCGGUGGCACCUGUGAAAGAAAUGUGUGAGAGAAAGAGUUUUCACAUUUAAGUAUGAUAAUGCGCACAAGCGAGGAAGAGCUAGAGAGAGCGCCUGCUUUCACACGUGUUAGCUGGAGAGAAGGGUUGCACACGGCAAACAACUCGCAAGUCGACAUGAACAGAUAGCACACGAACAAAAACAACAGGUUAUGGAUAAAGAAAGUGAAGCACUGUUUUCAGAUGCAAUGAGCGUCCUUUAACUCGAGGGUGCAGCCAUUUGCAACAAGCCACAUGGCUGACCUUACAUCUCCCGAGGCGGAGUCGCUCUCCUUCGCUCCCAUGUUCCGACACCAGGCAGAAGGUCAAAGGUCAAGCCACGACCUUUACCUGCAAGGUUCUAUAAGUGGGCUCAGCCCAUUUGAGGUCCCGUGUGAAGCCACGGAUGGCACCGGGAACGCUCUGAAUGGAAUAGAUCAAACGGGGAACGCUUCUUACUGGGGGAAUACAUCCCCUGUGUCCUCUAUGGAACUGAACAGGAACAAGGCACAAGCUGGAGUUUAUGAGGCCAACUGGAGUUCUCACUACCACCAACAAGAGGCGUCAGAGAGUUAUGAAACAACUGGGCGUCAGCAACAAAAACUGGAUUCAUUCUCCGAGGCAUUUUGCAGUCAUAGCGCCACCCGAAUGCCGGGCGGAGGAGAGCAGAGUGGCUUUAACAGCUCUACUCCUCCGUCACAUGCCCUCUCUUUCCCUCUGGUUCUUAGCCCACCUCCAACGCCCCUGCCUGCUCCAUCCUUUUCUCCUCCUAAACGACCUCAACACUUCUUGCCCAGCCAGAUCUUGAGCCAAUCACAGAUACAAACUCAGACGGAUGGGUCGCUGCAGUUCUUUCCCUCUUUACCUUCGCCCUCCACCGGCAGGUUCAAUCACCCCAUUUGGCUCCAGCUGCAAGCUGACGACAGCGACGGCCUGGACUUAACGCAGCACCUUCCACAAGAUUCAAACUCCUCUCUGGUUUAUUCAGAGCAUGGAGGGCCUCAUCUGAAACAUAUUAACUCCCUGCAGAGAGACUGUUCACUGCAAAUGUCCCUCAACCCUGUACUGGUUCAACAUCACCAUCACCAGGCCUGCACGCAACAAGAGCUGGGUCACGAGCCUGGAACAUCCGAAGAUCACAUGACUUGGUCUCAGAUUGGGCAAUCAUCUCAUUCAUUUGGACCUUCUCUAGACCAGUCUAGUCUCCAUGUGCAGGGGUCAGGGCCAGGAGAAGGAACACGAUUCGGCUACGGACUGAACUUUGGUCCUGGGUCCUCAGACAAAUCUCAGGUGCCCGUCAGCACACAGAAUGUUCCCAGUUCCGUAUAUACUGGAGUCCCUUUCAACAGUGUGAUCCAGAUGAGUAGAGACCUAAUGGAGAACUGGGAAGAAGCUACACCUCACUAUAUGCCACCUCCAAUGCUGAACCCAACACGUAGUGGAACGGGACUCUUUUGCAACCUACUGUCUUCCCUAGCUGUGGAAAACAGAGCAUUGUGGACAGACGAGAGGAAAGAUGAUGACUCACAAAGGUC